AGCGAACGCUGGCGGCAGGCCUAACACAUGCCAGUCGAACGAACCUUUCGGGGUUAGUGGCGGACGGGUGAGUAACACGUGGGAACGUGCCUUUAGGUUCGGAAUAACUCAGGGAAACUUGUGCUAAUACCGAAUGUGCCCUUCGGGGGUAAGAUUAAUCGCCUUUAGAGCGGCCCGCGUCUGAUUAGCUAGUUGGUUGAGGUAAUGGCUCACCAAGGCGACGAUCAGUAGCUGGUCUGAGAGGAUGAUCAGCCACAUUGGGACUGAGACACGGCCCAAACUCCUACGGGAGGAAGCAGUGGGGAAUCUUGCGCAAGGGGCGAAAGCCUGACGAAGCCAGGCCGCGUGAAUGAUGAAGGUCUUAGGAUUGUAAAAUUCUUUCACCGGGGACGAUAAUGACGGUACCCGGAGAAGAAGCCCCGGCUAACUUCGUG
rnacentral:rRNA from 1 species